UGCCCAUCAUCCUAGCCUGUUAUCUGUGAUAAAGCACACUGAAGUUAGGUUUGGAAUGCAUCCUUAUCAUGAAUGCUCUACACCUCCACCUCCAUCUCCCACAACCUAGGUAACAGCUUUGAGACUCACUAAAAGUUGAACCCCCUGAAUGAUGUAGGCUAUGGGGCCACAUAAGACUUUGUCCAUCCAGGGUUACAUUGAACGACAACUUUAAACUAAAAAACCCCCUGAAUGAUGUAGGCUAUGGGGCCACAUAAGACUUUGUCCAUCCAGGGUUACAUUGAACGACAACUUUAAACUAAAGGUAAGGAAUUAAUUAACAUACAUUAACUAAGUUUUAUACAUGUUAUAUAUGUGAUAUUAAACCACUGUAUGGUGCAUAUUACUGUAUGUAACUUACUAUGCAUAGAGUACUUACUGACAUACUAAUUAUUUUUUGUACAUUCCAGAACCCCCUGAAUGAUGUAGGCUAUGGGGCCACAUA